CCCGAGUGCCACAAUGUCGCUCGCACUACACACAAACAUUUGCUUUGCAUAGGUAAAGAAGAGUAAGGCACUCGCACAUAGCGCUCUCUUAGUUGAUGAAACAAAUGAUGCUUUGCUUCUCGGAUCAGUGUGCAUCUACGAAGCAAAUCAUCUUUAGAGUGAGACGAGUCAUGCAGCUCGACCGUGAACCUAAUUCGAUGUUCAUUUUGUUUUCUUUUCAUUUUCUUUUCUUUGUUUGUUUCCAAGUCUCUCUUCUGCCAACUAGAAGUACACAGGCCCUCGG